UUUUUGUUAUUCCAGAUGAAUUUGCAAAUUGCUCCUUCUAAUUCGUUGAAGAAUUGAGUUGGAAUUCAAAAUGUCAAUUUAUAAAUGAAAGUUUCUCAUGUGUGUUUGAAAGAGCCGGCGAUGCUUGCCCACAGGUGUGUCUUAUCAUGAUAUUGAGCACCAGGAAGGUACAAAUGCUCUUGACCCCUUUACUUUCUAUAUCUUCCGUCAGUCUUCUGCCUUUCUAUCAUCUGGCUAUUUGCCAAGAGGGUAUUGCUUCAACUAUUCCUUAUCCAAAGUGGUCUCUUUCCACGCAUCAGAUCAAGCUUUGUGUCAUCCAGAAGCUAUACCACUAUAUCACUAUAUCACUAUAUCACUACUGCCAGAGCAGCUCCUUGUGGGAACUUGAUCAUUGGCUUUUAUUUAUGCCUCUAGAAUGCAAGAAUUAUUUCAAUCCAAUAUUAAUUACUUUCUUUCUGGCAGGAUCUCAUGUACCCCAGGUUGGCUUUGAACUCUCUGUUUAGCUGAAGAUUAUCUUGCACUUCUGACCCUCCUUUCUUUACCUCCCCAGUACUGGGGAUUUAUAGGAGUACACAGCUUAUACGCUUAUACACACUGGGAGUUGGACCCAGGGUCUCGUUCAUGCCAUACAAGGAUGCUGUCACCUGAGUUACAUUCCAGACUCCUCUGUAUGACUUCUUCCUGAAUCAUAAUAAUCAUAAUACCUGACAGAAAGAGCUCCAGUGAAGAAAGAUUUAUUCUGAGUCAGGCGGUGGUAGCUCACGCCUUUAAUCCCAGCACUUGGGAGGCAAAGGCAGGCAGAUUUCUGAGUUUAAGGCCAGUCUGGUCUCCAGAGUGAGUUCCAGGACAGCCAGGGCUACACAGAGAAACCCUGUCUCAAAAAACCAAAAAAAAAAAAAAAAAAAAAAAGGAAAGAUUUAUUCUGGCUCAUAUUUUCCCAGGGAUCACUCCAUUCUGACAGGGAAAGAGCAAAAUGAGCAAAACAUUUCAGUUCGUGGCAGGAGGCACAUGGGAAGGAGGCUGUUUAUGUCAUGGUAGAUCAGAGAUCAGAAGCCAGAUCUUCAAAGAUUUGCCCUAGGUUACCUGUUUCUGCAGAAAAAUGCCACCUCCUCAAGAUUCCACAGCUUCCUGAAAAAGUGUUACCAGCUGGGGAGCUGUUGCAAUAGGCAAAUUAAUUCUACUGAAAUCGUCCUGGCAGUGGUGACCUGUGUUCCUUGCUACUCCCCCUGAAUGAAACACACACACACACAAACAACAAAAAAACCCUUAUAUUUCACUAUGCCUUAAACAGCUCAAUGGCUGGGCCACUCCUGUGGCUAAUACCUCCCCUCCAGUACUCCUGAGUUAUUACUUACUGAAAUCUAUAUUCCAUCUUUGCUGCCCUAGAUCCAAUGGGGGGAGUGCCCUGGGGCUGCUCUUACAUGAUUGGUAUGCUCUCUCUUCUGCACUUCUCAGGCCUGGACCUUACUCUUUUCCCGGUAUGGUGGUUCUAAAUCCUCCUCCCGGAUUAGUCCCUUAGUCCCCUUGUCCGAGAAUCCUAAAGUCCCACCUCUGUCUCCCUGCCUAGACAAUGGCUGCCAGCAACUUUAUUUACCAAUCAAAGCCAACUGGGGGCAGGGACCAUCAAAGUCUUACAUGCAGAUUCUUGUGCAAUUUUGGGAAACCAAUUAACAUAAUAUAAGUGUUAGACCAAAUCCACAACAGGGAGAGAAACAUGAGCUUGUGUGGAACAUUCAAGUUUCAAUCAUAAUUAAUUUUUUUUUGUUUUUCAGAAUCCUCAGGAAGCCAGGAAGAAUUUGGAGGGCAAUACAUGGUGUCUCAUGCUACCAUGUGUUGACUUCUCC
rnacentral:lncRNA from 1 species